rnacentral:rRNA from 1 species
CAAUUUCUGAUGGCGACCGGCGCACGGGUGAGUAACGCGUAUCCAACCUUCCCAUUACUACGAGCAUACCCCUGUUGAAAGGCGGCCUAAUUCCGUAUGCAGUCCGAAGCAGUCAUCUAAUUUGGACGAAAGGUAUAUUCUAUCGGUAAUGGAUGGGGAUGCGUCCGAUUAGCCAGCCGGCGGGGUAACGGCCCACCGGGGCAUUGAUCGGUAGGGGUUCUGAGAGGAAGGUCCCCCACACUGGAACUGAGACACGGUCCAGACUCCUACGGGAGGCAGCAGUGAGGAAUAUUGGUCAAUGGGCGUAAGCCUGAACCAGCCAAGUAGCGUGCAGGAUGACGGCCCUAUGGGUUGUAAACUGCUUUUAUGCGGGGAUAAAGUUGGGGACGUGUCCCUUUUUGCAGGUACCGCAUGAAUAAGGACCGGCUAAUUCCGUGCCAGCAGCCGCGGUAAUACGGAAGGUCCGGGCGUUAUCCGGAUUUAUUGGGUUUAGAGGGGAGCGUAGGCAGUUUUUUAAGCGUGCUG